rnacentral:rRNA from 1 species
CCCUUAGAUGUUCUGGGCCGCACGCGUGCUACACUGAGUGGAUCAGCGGGUCGGGUUGCGCGAAAGUGUUUCCUAAUCUUGAAAUCCGCUCGUGAUGGGGAUUGACGGUUGCAAUUUUCCGUCAUGAACGAGGAAUACCUUGUAAGCGCGGGUCAUCAUCCCGCGCUGAAUACGUCCCUGCCCUUUGUACACACCGCCCGUCGCUCCUACCGAUUGAGUGGUCCGGUGAGGCUUUGGGAUCUGAGCGGAAAGAGCGUUUCGCUGUUUCUGCUCGGAAAACUCAGUCGAACCUUAUCAUUUAGAGGAAGGAGAGGUCGUAACA